UUUUGUGAAGGUUUUUUUUACAAAUCUAUAUAAGUGCUAAAACUAUUUAAUGUAUCUAAAGUGAGAACGAUCUUAUUAAAUUAUAAGAUGAUGAAAUUAUGUUUUAUUUCUUACAUGCAAAAGGGUCACAAUAUAGUUGGAAUUAUUAAGUUUGUUUAUGUUAUGAUCAUGUGUCUUUCUCUAUUUGUUGAUGCAUUUAUCUUUGAUACGAGUAUGUGUGCUGAAGAUUCUGAUUGUCAAGAAGUUACGUGCUUAACUCCUAAAUCACCUUAUUGUAAGAAGUGGCCAUUUUUCUCCGAAAAAGGCGUAUGUGAUUGUAUUGCAGAGAGAGUGCCAUAUGUAUGGUCUCUUAAAAAUUAAAUUAAAUUUCAAUGAAUUGUUAUUUGUGUUGGCAUCCAAUAAUUUGUUAUUAUUUCUUUUUAUAUUUUCACGAACAUUGUACUUGUGUCUUUGUAUUCUAAGAUGAUUGUAAUGAAAUGAAAUUAAUAACACAAAAAAGAAAAAUAUAUAAAUAUUUUUCUUCUCUCUUAAAUUUUGGAAAUAUUAUGAUGGCCUUAAAUUCAUGUCCUUCAUAACAACUUGAAGAGUUAAGUAAAAAAAAAUAGUUUCAUGUUGCU